UCUUGAUUUAAAGGAGACGUCCUGC
rnacentral:piRNA from 1 species